rnacentral:rRNA from 1 species
GUGGGGAAUUUUGGACAAUGGGCGCAAGCCUGAUCCAGCAAUGCCGCGUGCAGGAAGAAGGCCUUCGGGUUGUAAACUGCUUUUGUACGGAACGAAACGGUCCGGGUUAAUACCCUGGGCUAAUGACGGUACCGUAAGAAUAAGCACCGGCUAACUACGUGCCAGCAGCCGCGGUAAUACGUAGGGUGCAAGCGUUAAUCGGAAUUACUGGGCGUAAAGCGUGCGCAGGCGGUUUUGUAAGACAGGCGUGAAAUCCCCGGGCUCAACCUGGGAAUUGCGCUGGGGACUGCAAGGCUGGAGUGCGGCAGAGGGGGAUGGAAUUCCGCGUGUAGCAGUGAAAUGCGUAGAUAUGCGGAGGAACACCGAUGGCGAAGGCAAUCCCCUGGGCCUGCACUGACGCUCAUGCACGAAAGCGUGGGGAGCAAACAGGAUUAGAUACCCUAGUAGUCC